GACGACGCUGGCGGCGUGCCUAAUACAUGCAAGUAGGACGAGUUGCGAACGGGUGAGUAAGGCGUGGUAACCUGCCUAGUAGAGGGGGAUGACUAUUGGAAACGAUAGCUAAUACCGCAUACUAGUAGAAGGACCUGCGUUGUAUUAGCUAGUAGGUAGGGUAAUGGCCUACCUAGGCGACGAUACAUAGCCGACCUGAGAGGAUGACCAGCCACCCUGGAACUGAGACACGUUCCAGACUCCUACGGGAGGCAGCAGUGGGGAAUAUUGCACAAUGGGCGCAAGCCUGAUGCAGCCAUGCCGCGUGUAUGAAGAAGGCCUUCGGGUUGUAAAGUACUUUCAGCGGGGAGGCGUUACCCGCAGAAGAAGCACCGGCUAACUCCGUGCCAGCAGCCGCGGUAAUAC
rnacentral:rRNA from 1 species